rnacentral:rRNA from 1 species
UACGUAGGGACCAAGCGUUGUUCGGAUUUACUGGGCGUAAAGGGCGCGUAGGCGGCGUGACAAGUCACUUGUGCAAUCUCCGGGCUUAACCCGGAACGGCCAAGUGAUACUGUCGCGCUAGAGUGCAGAAGGGGCAAUCGGAAUUCUUGGUGUAGCGGUGAAAUGCGUAGAUAUGAAGAGGAACACCUGAGGUGGAGACGGGUUGCUGGGCUGACACUGACGCUGACAGCGCGAAAGCUAGGGGGGCAAACGGG